UUUCCAAGCCUCAUUUAAGGGUUGGCAGUAGAGGUAGGGGUGUUUUGCUGGAGAUCCCUGUGUACCUGAGGCCUUUUGAAGGUGAGAAGAGUUCAGCAGGUGCUGAGUAUGAGACUUUUGCAGUGUGUGGAGGAGAGAGAUGGGCACCCCGUGGCUCUUUGCUGCAACCACCAAGAAUUGAUAUCCAAUUUUAGAAGACAGUUUCUGCUUACAAACUUUCCUCAAGCCACUGUUGUAGACUUAGCAACUUACUCCUAGCUUUGGAGAACCCUGAAUGAGAUAAUUGCGGGCCAUCAACAUUCAUCUUUCUCCUUUAGCAGACUCCUCCAAGGGUCAAAAGGUGAAAAUGAUUGAGGUACCUUUUGCUAUGAAUAUUUCACGAGCCGCAUAUCCCUUUUUCACUGAGAUCUAUGUGCUGACUGAGGGCUUCUUCGGGAUGAGUCCUUAGUUGACUGAUGAAUACAAAACACUUCUCGAACAAAAGGCAUUCAAGAUUAGCGGAAGACAAGACAGCCUACUUUAGUUUCUGUGAGCAGUACCUGGAGUAUCAAUGGAGAUAAAACACUGAGUGACAGGUAACUGAAAUACUGAAUAACACAAUAUAUUGUUCUCCUAUUGAUUGGGGAAAUAAUGAGAAAGUUAGCAAGUCACGGUAAUGUCACAGACAGCGAUGAACUUCGGAAAACUCAAGGACCAGAAAGUAACAUGAAACAAGGAGCAAAAUGAAGAUAAUAUUUGGUUACAGUACAGUUCUCAAAUGGUAGUGAAACACAUCCCAUCGCCUUUGAGUAUGCACGGUUUUUAAAAUGAAGACAAAGGGAAGAAAUUGCUGGCUGAAACAAUAUAGCUAUUUUAUUUUACUACAGACAGUAAUGUGAACUUCUUGGAAGACAUCUUCUUUCACCACACUAUUGCAGACGGGCACAUUUAGGAGCUAUGAACCAAAAUUAUCCUCUCUCUGCAUAACCUUUCUAGUGUCAUAUCCCGCAAGGCCCUCUGGUAAUUGAACAUAUUCAGUACCAAGAAUCAGCUAUUGUUUCACUGUGGUGUGGAGGUUUCAAAGACAAUCCCUUUGAAGAGGCUACUCAUUCAAAAGAGAAGCAGCACCUUUGCAAAACACAUCUAGAGAAAGCCUUUUUUUUUCUCUUCUCACACUGACUCAACUCUUGGGAAAGUUUAGCUUGCCCAUCUCCAUAACUGAGGGAUGCUCCCUGCUUUCCUGUAGCGCUGCACGAGACCCCAUCCUCCUGACACCUGCUGCCUUGCCUCUGUGCCAAGUCAAAGUUAGACCAGUGAAAAUAACCAUGCUGGCCUCCCAGUGCUUCCCAGAAUUUCUGCAUUCAGAUAAUUUUACAAGCUUCUCCAUGCCACUGUCCUUCUGUCACUUGAAUAGAACAGAGCUCAUGUUGGCCACAAAUAUUUCCUCCGAAGACAAGCAAAAUCCCACACAAAGGAAGGAAACUCUCUUUUCCUCAUUUGAAAUGAGACAACUUAAUAUUAAAUG
ensembl:lncRNA